CCUUAAAGACAAUUUUACACAAUUUGUUCAUCAAGUUUGCUAACAUUUAAAAAUCUUCUCCUCUGAAACUACUGGGCCAAAUACCUGCAAACUUUAAUUGAAUGUUUCUUAGUUACACUUUACACUUUCAACACAUGUCAACAUUCAAUGAUUAUCAGUAAAGCAGACAAAACAGAAUGUGCACUUUUGUUUACAGGUUUUCAUCUGUGUAUUUAUUUAACAUUUAAAUUUUUUUAUAAAACUUUAUUUGCAGUUUCUUAUCAUGUUUAUUGACUGUUGGCAGAAGGGGUAUGUAAUAUAAAGUGGCAUAAAGGCCAUGAAGACAGACUUAACAUAACAUACUGAAGUUGAAAUUAGAGUUUAACGAAGGCCCACGUGUAAUCCUUUAUUGACAGUGGCAGAACUUGGACCAACAGAUUUCACUUUGGGUAUUUAAUAAAAUUAAUAAUUAGCUUAAGACAGGGGCUUUAAUACUUUACUUUAAGUUUUUUUUUUUUUGAUUUAUGCUGAAACUGAAGAUGUUUUAACAAUAUAAAAAUACUGAGAUGCGGUAUGAUUGCGAAUGAGACAACUCUCCACCAGAAACCAAAAGUGACAUAACUAAUUUAGACAAAUGGUUGCUACAAAGACUUUUUCUGAUUAAGGGCUAUUGUCCUUAAUUGAUUGAAAAAUAACUAAUUAUGACAUUUCUGUGUAAUAACUUGCAUUCAAUUAUGAAAGUGCCAAUUUUCACUUAUAAAAUGUUAUACUACUCAGGACUUAUGGCUCUUGAUUGUUUUAACGUGACACUAAAAUGUAGGCAAAAUCUGAAAGUACAGCAUCUAUUUAAAAUAAGAGUGAUUUUGUUCUAUAAUUAUAUAAUACAAUUUUUUUUAUGGUGGUAUGUUACAUAACACAAAUUUGGAUGUUAAUCAUAGUUUAGAGAAAAUACAGAUUUGAUCAAUUUCAAUAAUUAAACAUAUUGGGACAAUCUAAAUAUGACAUCAUAAUUACAGUUUCAUUAUUCCUCAUCAAAUAACAACUGAGUACAAAUUUGAUACAAUGUUUUCUCUUUCUUUUACAGGAUAUAAUGGCAAGUUGGGAUGAGGUAAGUUUUUCUUCUUAACAGUCAUAUGACCUAUAUUGUGAAUACACUGUACAAAAAGAUACAGGCAUGUAGUAUUCUCAUAGUCAGACCUAUGUUGUCAAUAAACUGUACAGAAAGAUACAGGCGUGUAGUAUUCUCAUAGUCAGUCAGUGUCAUGUGACCUAUGUUGUCAAUAAACUGUACAGAAAGAUACAGGAGUGUAGUAUUCUCAUAGUCAGUCAGUGUCAUGUGACCUAUGUUGUCAAUAAACUGUACAGAAAGAUACAGGCGUGUAGUAUUCUUAAACUCAGUCAGUGUCAUGUGACCUAUGUUGUCAAUAAACUGUACAGAAAGAUACAGGUGUGUAGUAUUCUCAUAGUCAGUCAGUGUCAUGUGACCUAUGUUGUCAAUAAACUGUACAGAAAGAUACAGGCGUGUAGUAUUCUCAUAGUCAGUCAGUGUCAUAUGACCUAUGUUGUCAAUAAACUGUACAGAAAGAUACAGUGUAGUAUUAUCAUAGUCAGUCAGUGUCAUGUGACCUAUGUUGUCAAUAAACGUACAGAAAGAUACAGGCGUGUAGUAUUCUCAUAGUCAGUCAGUGUCAUAUGACCUAUGUUGUCAAUAAACUGUACAGAAAGAUACAGGCGUGUAGUAUUAUCAUAGUCAGUCAGUGUCAUGUGACCUAUGUUGUCAAUAAACUGUACAUAAAGAUACAGGUGUGUAGUAUUCUCAGAGUCAGUCAGUGUCAUGUGACCUAUGUCAUGUGACCUAUGUUGUCUAUAAACUGUACAUAAAGAUACAGGUGUGUAGUUUUGUAAGAAGGAGAAUAGGAAAAAAUCAAUAUCAUUACAGUGAGAAGAAUUUCAAUAUACAAAAUUCCAGGGAACAAAAAAAGAGAUGUAAGAUAUCACAGGAUAUAUUCACAACUCUUUUACAAUGUAUGUUGAAGAGAAACUGACAACGCCAUGGCAAAAAAUGAAGAACAAAAACAAUUCAAACAACAAUCUUCAAAGUAUUACAUAAAAAAACUAAAGAUCAAGCAAUACAAACCCCAUCAAAAACUGAUGCAUACUACAGUUGUCUAUAAAGUCUUUUCUAAAAAAAAUUAUAGACAACAAUCUUACUUCGGUUUGGUAAUCACUGUAUUUGAUAUAAGCUAUGGAAACUGUAAACAUGUAGCUUAUUAAAUUCAAUUAUUAUAUUUAUGAUACAUUUGUAUGUUCUAGAGGAAAAUGUUAAAACUUUGUUUUGCUUACAGAAACUUCUUACAGCUGCAGAGGAGGGGAAUAUAAAAGAGGUAGAAAUUAUGUGUAAAGAAUGGAGCUAGUUUGAAAUGUAGAACUAAUGAUAGGGUAAGUGA
rnacentral:lncRNA from 1 species